rnacentral:rRNA from 1 species
UACAGAACCCGCAAGCGUUAUCCGGAUUUAUUGGGCGUAAAGCGUUCGUAGGCGGUUUGGAAAGUCUGGUAUUAAAUACCCGGGCUCAACCCGGGACGUGUACUGGAAACUUCCGAACUUGAAGAUGCUAGGGGCUAUCGGAACGCACGGUGUAGGGGUGAAAUCCGUUGAUAUCGUGCGGAACACCAAAAGCGAAGGCAGAUAGCUGGGGCAAUCUUGACGCUGAGGAACGAAAGCGUGGGGAG